CGAGCUUCUUCUCUGGAGUACACAACUCAUUGGUAAGCCUUCGGAGCUUUUUAACUGUUCACAAAUUCYGGAUGAGAAGAAUAACCUCACUUUUCUGAAUGCCAUGGAUCAUCAGGGUGAGAACAGGUUGGUCUAGAGGACAUUGCAGCCCUGAUGCCUUACUGCAAAGAGAGAGGAACAAGCUGAGAGAUUGCAAGUCCAACCUGGAAGAAGGAAAAGGUCCAAGCCCUCACAGCACACGGAGCGCUCACAGAGGACAGCAGUGACAAAACCUUGAGCUGCGAUGAUUUCACAGAGGCUCUAGGGGACUGCCACGGUGCAGGGGGCUAAAGGACAUAAUCUGAUCCCAGUUGCUGCAGCAUAGAUCUAGAAUAGCCCAUUUAAUCCAAACUAUACUUGUGUCAUUGUGAAGAACAAAUGGGAGCACAUCAAUCCUCCGCAUGCGGUGGCCCUUCCUGCUCACCGUUGGAUCUGCUGCGUUAAAUCUUCCUGCACACCUGCACGUGUGGAGCCGUUUGCCAGCCCCAUUGCUGCUAAAAGAGCCACCUGAGGCUCCUCGUGUGAUGGCUGCUCAUUCUGCUGUUGGAAACGAAGAGCAUGUUUCACCUUGCCUUUUAAUUUUGAUCUGGAAUGACKACUCAUUCUCAUGUAUCACUGUAAAAUCGAUCUGGAAUGCGAAAUUCAUUCCAAAAAUACCCAAGGAUCUCAUCAUUUCAAAAUAUACCCUUCAACAGAGUGUGUCUCUUUUACUAAUGGGCAUAUGAAAACCCCUUUCAAAACACUUACUGAACGUGUGCAAGAAAUAUGUAUCAGGACCCCCAGGGACCAAUGUGUCAGCAAAGCUCUUUGCCUUUUUCUCUCAGUGUCUCUCUCCCAUGUCAAAGUAGGAAUUUUGCAAUUACUGAUGAGAUCUGAGCUGCAGCAGACUGGACCAAAACAACCAAGAAAACCACCAGAACCCAGAUCCCAGAACUCUUUUGUGGGAAAAAUUCCGAAUUUUGUGUUAGCACAAAGUCAGUGUAAGAAAAAUCAUGGAAAGGUUGGGAAAAAAAGGAAGAUG
rnacentral:lncRNA from 1 species